GUAACGGCGAGUGAAGCGGUAACAGCUCAAAUUUGAAAUCUGGCUCUUUCAGGGUCCGAGUUGUAAUUUGUAGAAGAUGCUUCGGGUGUGGCUCCGGUCUAAGUUCCUUGGAACAGGACGUCAUAGAGGGUGAGAAUCCCGUAUGUGACUGGUUGCCUUCGCCCAUGUGAAGCUCUUUCGACGAGUCGAGUUGUUUGGGAAUGCAGCUCUAAAUGGGUGGUAAAUUUCAUCUAAAGCUAAAUAUUGGCCAGAGACCGAUAGCGCACAAGUAGAGUGAUCGAAAGAUGAAAAGCACUUUGGAAAGAGAGUUAAACAGUACGUGAAAUUGUUGAAAGGGAAGCGCUUGCAACCAGACUUGCACCCCGUCGAUCAUCCCCCGUUCUCGGAGGUGCACUCGGCGGGGUUCAGGCCAGCAUCGGUUUCGGUGGUGGGAUAAAGGCCUUGGGAACGUAGCUCCUCUCGGGGAGUGUUAUAGCCCUCGGUGCAAUGCCGCCUACCGGGACCGAGGACCGCGCUUCGGCUAGGAUGCUGGCGUAAUGGUUG
rnacentral:rRNA from 2 species